UACAGAGGUCCCGAGCGUUGUUCGGAUUCACUGGGCGUAAAGGGCUCGUAGGUGGCCAACUAAGUCAGACGUGAAAUCCCCAGGCUCAACUUGGGAACUGCGUCUGAUACUGGAUGGCUUGAAUUCGGGAGAGGGAUGCAGAAUUCCAGGUGUAGCGGUGAAAUGCGUAGAUAUCUGGAGGAAUACCGGUGGCGAAGGCGGCAUCCUGGACCGAUAUUGACACUGAUGAGCGAAAGCCAGGGGAGCAAACGGG
rnacentral:rRNA from 1 species